rnacentral:lncRNA from 1 species
ACAGCGUAUUUAUAUCUCGCCUGCGGGAAUCACUGAAAAUUAAGCAUGGCGGUGUCCGACAAAAAAUUCUCAUAGAAAUCGCUUUCUUUUCUCUAACUCGCGGUAAAGGAGAUCGGAUUUCCUACUGUUAAGAGAAUAAACACCAUUUUAUUCCACGUCAUUGAUUAUGGUCGGACGCAGUCAUAAACGACAACCUCACUACUUUACAAAGAAAUUCAGAAGGUUAGUGAAGGCUCUACCGACCAAAACAGCCUGUUGGAAGUGAAAAUUCGUGUUACAUAGAAGGAACUAAUUGCCGAGGGUCACAAAGCCGAAACAAAAGUCUGUGAAUUUUCUCAGUGAAACAGGGCUGCCGACUGAGAUGAAUACAGCAAUUUAACAGUGUGUCGCCACCUCUUGUUUUGUGUUAUAUCAGUUCUUUUCAAGUGAUAUUGAGAUUUUAAUGAUAAUCACAUGAAGAUGCGUCAUAAAAACACAUGUAGCUAUCUCUCGCAGCACAAAACAUAGUGUUUUAAACAAGUCUAUUCAUUAACAAACAAAAGGCUCAAGUUUCGCAGCCCAAAACUAAGGGCUGAAAAUGUAAAGAUAUUUUCUACGUGUUUUUUUUUUUUUCAAAGAAAAUGACACUGCCAAGAAAUACGAAAAUCAUAUUACUUAUUUGUUACAAAUGCAAACUCAAAGACAAUUCUCUCUCGCUGUAAAGUUUCCUCUUAAACUUUCUACUCUUAAUCUUUUCCUUGACAAUAACUUUCAUCAGUAGUAAAUUGAAAAACAAAGUAUGUCGUCUGGUAACAGUGUAAAAAGUAAUUCUAAUAUAUCUAUAAGUAAUUCUAUAUAUGUGUGUGUGUGUGCGUGUGCAUAUAUUUAUGAUUUGUUACGGAGUCAAGAAAGUGAAGAACGCCCGAUUCUUAUUUGCAUGAACUCCGCAGUAACAUUUAUCAGUUAACUGACUAUAUCGGGCAGCAAUUUUAAAAAUUAUCUUAUUUGCAGUUUCAGAGAGCUGACAAAUCUAAUCUACCAAAUCGAAUCUGAAGUUUUGAGCAUCUCUUAACUGAUAAUCAAGGCAAAUGAUCACAAUAUUUAGCUGAAUAAAUGAAUUAAGAUUUCAGCCUCAACUUACUCAAGGCCGAAGAACAAUUUGUCUGGAGAUAAGAUAAGCAGAGUUUGUUUGGAGAUGAAAUAAAAAGGAGAAAUCUAGU